UGGCGCGUCUACCUGCAGUCGAACGGUAACAGGAAGCAGCUUGCUGUUUUGCUGACGAGUGGCGGACGGGUGAGUAAUGUCUGGGAAACUGCCCGAUGGAGGGGGAUAACUACUGGAAACGGUAGCUAAUACCGCAUAACGUCGCAAGACCAAAGAGGGGGACCUUCGGGCCUCUUGCCAUCGGAUGUGCCCAGAUGGGAUUAGCUAGUAGGUGGGGUAACGGCUCACCUAGGCGACGAUCCCUAGCUGGUCUGAGAGGAUGACCAGCCACACUGGAACUGAGACACGGUCCAGACUCCUACGGGAGGCAGCAGUGGGGAAUAUUGCACAAUGGGCGCAAGCCUGAUGCAGCCAUGCCGCGUGUAUGAAGAAGGCCUUCGGGUUGUAAAGUACUUUCAGCGGGGAGGAAGGGAGUAAAGUUAAUACCUUUGCUCAUUGACGUUACCCGCAGAAGAAGCACCGGCUAACUCCGUGCCAGCAGCCGCGGUAAUACGGAGGGUGCAAGCGUUAAUCGGAAUUACUGGGCGUAAAGCGCACGCAGGCGGUUUGUUAAGUCAGAUGUGAAAUCCCCGGGCUCAACCUGGGAACUGCAUCUGAUAC
rnacentral:rRNA from 1 species